rnacentral:tRNA from 1 species
GGGAAUGUGACUUAGUGGUAGAGUGCUUGCCUACCAUGCAUGAAGUCCUGGGUUUGAUAUCUUAGCACCA